rnacentral:tRNA from 1 species
UCCCUGGUGGCUCAGUUGGUAAAGAACCUGCCUGCAAUGCAGGAGACCUGGGUUCAAUCCCUGGUUGGGAAG